GGUUAAGUGACUAAGCGUACACGGUGGAUGCCUGGGCAGUCAGAGGCGAUGAAGGACGUACUAACUUGCGAUAAGCGCAGAUAAGGCAGUAAGAGCCGUUUGAGUCUGCGAUUUCCGAAUGGGGAAACCCAACUGCAUAAGCAGUUACUGUUAACUGAAUACAUAGGUUAACAGAGCAAACCGGGGGAACUGAAACAUCUAAGUACCCCGAGGAGAAGAAAUCAACCGAGAUUCCGGUAGUAGCGGCGAGCGAACCUGGAUUAGCCCUUAAGCACUCGGUGAAGUAGGUGAACAAGCUGGAAAGCUUGGCGAUACAGGGUGAUAGCCCCGUAACCGACGCUUCAUCGAGCGUGAAAUCGAGUAGGGCGGGACACGUGAUAUCCUGUCUGAAUAUGGGGGGACCAUCCUCCAAGGCUAAAUACUCCUGACUGACCGAUAGUGAACCAGUACCGUGAGGGAAAGGCGAAAAGAACCCCUGUGAGGGGAGUGAAAUAGAACCUGAAACCGUGUACGUACAAGCAGUAGGAGCACCUUCGUGGUGUGACUGCGUACCUUUUGUAUAAUGGGUCAGCGACUUAUAUUCAGUGGCAAGGUUAACCGUAUAGGGGAGCCGUAGCGAAAGCGAGUCUUAACUGGGCGUUCAGUCUCUGGAUAUAGACCCGAAACCGGGUGAUCUAGCCAUGGGCAGGUUGAAGGUUGAGUAACAUCAACUGGAGGACCGAACCGACUAAUGUUGAAAAAUUAGCGGAUGACUUGUGGCUAGGGGUGAAAGGCCAAUCAAACUCGGAGAUAGCUGGUUCUCCCCGAAAGCUAUUUAGGUAGCGCCUCGGACGAAUACUACUGGGGGUAGAGCACUGUUAAGGCUAGGGGGUCAUCCCGACUUACCAACCCUUUGCAAACUCCGAAUACCAGUAAGUACUAUCCGGGAGACACACGGCGGGUGCUAACGUCCGUCGUGGAGAGGGAAACAACCCAGACCGCCAGCUAAGGUCCCAAAGUAUUGCUAAGUGGGAAACGAUGUGGGAAGGCUCAGACAGCUAGGAUGUUGGCUUAGAAGCAGCCAUCAUUUAAAGAAAGCGUAAUAGCUCACUAGUCGAGUCGGCCUGCGCGGAAGAUGUAACGGG
rnacentral:rRNA from 1 species